UAACUUUAGCAGCACAUAUUCUAAAAUUGGAAUGAUACAGAGAAGAUGAGCACAGCCCCACGAUGACACACAAAUUCAUGAAAUGCUCCGUAUUUUU
rnacentral:snRNA from 1 species